GAGUUUGAUCGUGGCUCAGAGCGAACGCUGGCGGCAGGCCUAACACAUGCAAGUCGAGCGGCCGUAGCAAUACGGCAGCGGCAGACGGGAGAGUAACACGUGGGAACGCGCCCUUCGGUUCGGAAUAACUCAGGGAAACUUGGGCUAAUACCGGAUACGCCCUUACGGGGAAAGAUUUAUUGCCGAAGGAACGGCCCGCGUCCGAUUAGCUUGUUGGUGAGGUAACGGCUCACCAAGGCGACGAUCGGUAGCUGGUCUGAGAGGAUGACCAGCCUCACUGGGACUGAGACACGGCCCAGACUCCUACGGGAGGCAGCAGUGGGGAAUAUUGGACAAUGGGCGCAAGCCUGAUCCAGCCAUGCCGCGUGGGUGAUGAAGGCCCUAGGGUUGUAAAGCCCUUUCAGCGGGAAGAUAAUGACGGUACCCGCAGAAGAAGCCCCGGCUAACUUCGUGCCAGCCGCCGCGGUAAC
rnacentral:rRNA from 1 species